rnacentral:pre_miRNA from 1 species
GGGGAAUGCUGUUUGGUUCGAGAUCAUCCGAGCUUCGGUGUCAUCUACGGACAUUCCAUCGUAUGGUCUCGGACCAGGCUUCAUUCCCC